UGCGGGGUAGAGAAACGGUAUCUCGUUGGGCUCAUAACCCGAAGACAGGUGGUUCGACUCCAUCCUCCGCAA
rnacentral:tRNA from 2 species